rnacentral:rRNA from 1 species
UACGUAGGUGGCAAGCGUUGUCCGGAUUUAUUGGGUUUAAAGGGUGCGUAGGCGGUGACUUAAGUCAGUGGUGAAAUACGGCAGCUCAACUGUCGAGGUGCCAUUGAUACUGGGUUACUUGAGUACUGAUGAGGUAGGCGGAAUGGACGGUGUAGCGGUGAAAUGCUUAGAUAUCGUCCAGAACACCGAUAGCGAAGGCAGCUUACUAAGGAGUAACUGACGCUGAGGCACGAAAGUGUGGGGAUCAAACAGG